rnacentral:rRNA from 1 species
GACGAACCGUGCGAACGUUGUUCGGAAUCACUGGGCUUAAAGGGCGCGUAGGCGGGGUGGACAGUCUAUGGUGAAAUCCUCCGGCUCAACCGGAGAACUGCCGUGGAUACUGCCACUCUCGAGGGGUGUAGGGGCAUGGGGAACUUCGGGUGGAGCGGUGAAAUGCGUAGAUAUCCGAAGGAACGCCGGUGGCGAAAGCGCCGUGCUGGACACCUACUGACGCUGAGGCGCGAAAGCCAGGGGAGCAAACGGG